rnacentral:rRNA from 1 species
AGGGUUCGAUUCUGGCUCAGGAUGAACGCUGGCGGCGUGCCUAACACAUGCAAGUCGAGCGAUUCUCUUCGGAGAAGAGCGGCGGACGGGUGAGUAACGCGUGGGUAACCUGCCCUAUACACACGGAUAACGUACCGAAAGGUACGCUAAUACGAGAUAAUAUGCUUUAGUCGCAUGGCUGAAGUAUCAAAGCUCCGGCGGUAUAGGAUGGACCCGCGUCUGAUUAGCUAGUUGGUAAGGUAAUGGCUUACCAAGGCGACGAUCAGUAGCCGACCUGAGAGGGUGAUCGGCCACAUUGGAACUGAGACACGGUCCAAACUCCUACGGGAGGCAGCAGUGGGGAAUAUUGCACAAUGGGCGAAAGCCUGAUGCAAGCAACGCCGCGUGAGCGAUGAAGGCCUUCGGGUCGUAAAGCUCUGUCCUCAAGGAAGAUAAUGACGGUACUUGAGGAGGAAGCCCCGGCUAACUACGUGCCAGCCGCAGC